rnacentral:misc_RNA from 1 species
GCUCCGUAGGUGAACCUGCGGAGGGAUCAUUACAGAGUUCUCGCCCUCACGGGUAGAUCUCCCACCCACUGUUAUCGUUACUGUCGUUUCUUUGGCGGGCCGCCGGGUCCCCGGCCGCCGGCGCCUAGCUGCCGGCGCGCGCCCGCCAGAGGCCUUCAAACUCUGAAUGUUAGUGUCGUCUGAGUACUAUAUAAUAGUUAAAACUUUCAACAACGGAUCUCUUGGUUCUG